rnacentral:rRNA from 1 species
GUCUACAGCCAUGCUACCUUGAACAAGCCCAAUCCCGUCUGAUUUCAGAAGCUAAGCAGGGUUGGACCUGGUUAGUACUUGGAUGGGAGAUCACCUAGGAAAACCACCUAGGUGCUGUAGGCA